GCCGGGUUUGGUGGUGCAAACCUGUAAUCCCAACGGCUCAGGAGGUUGAGGCAAGAGAAUCACGAGUUCAAAACCAGCCUCAGCAAUGGCAAGACACUAAGCAACUCAGUGAGAUCCUGUCUCUA
rnacentral:sRNA from 1 species